rnacentral:rRNA from 1 species
CAGUCGCCGCGGGAAUACAGAGGGUGCGAGCGUUAAUCGGAUUUACUGGGCGUAAAGCGUGCGUAGGCGGCUUUUUAAGUCGGAUGUGAAAUCCCCGGGCUCAACAUGGGAACUGCAUCCAAAACUGGCAAGCUAGAGUAUGGUAGAGGGUGGUGGAAUUUCCUGUGUAGCGGUGAAAUGCGUAGAUAUAGGAAGGAACACCAGUGGCGAAGGCGACCACCUGGACUGAUACUGACACUGAGGUGCGAAAGCGUGGGGAGCAAACAGGAUUAGAUACCCGAGUAGUCCCUGUCUCUUAUAC